CUACCAAAACUCAAAACAUAUACCCGGUAAAAAUGAUAAUAGUUUUCGGUUGGGGCGACCCUGGAGAAAAAUAAAUCCUCCAAGCUGAAUGAUCAAAAAUCUAAUGUUAGAGCAACAACUCAAACAAUCAAAACCUUGACAAAAUGACCCAGAAUUCAUCUGACCAACGAACCAAGUUACCCUGGGGAUAACAGCGC
rnacentral:rRNA from 1 species